GUCGGCCUGCGGCGGUUCGCGGCGUGUCGGCUGGCGUCCGCUGCGAGCAUGGGGGAUCCGGGGGAGCGCCGCCUCCGCCCGGCAC
rnacentral:tRNA from 1 species